rnacentral:rRNA from 1 species
UGCGUAGGUGGUUUCUUAAGUCAGAGGUGAAAGGCUACGGCUCAACCGUAGUAAGCCUUUGAAAUUGGGAAACUUGAGUGCAGGAGAGGAGAGUGGAAUUCCUAGUGUAGCGGUGAAAUGCGUAGAUAUUAGGAGGAACACCAGUUGCGAAGGCGGCUCUCUGGACUGUAACUGACACUGAGGCACGAAAGCGUGGGGAGCAAACA